GAUGAACGCUGGCGGCGUGCUUAACACAUGCAAGUCGAACGGAAAGGCCCAAGCUUUCUUGGGUACUCGAGUGGCGAACGGGUGAGUAACACGUGGGUGAUCUGCCCUGCACUUCGGGAUAAGCCUGGGAAACUGGGUCUAAUACCGGAUAGGACCACAUUUUGGAUGGUGUGGUGGAAAGUUUUUCGGUGUGGGAUGAGCUCGCGGCCUAUCAGCUUGUUGGUGGGGUAAUGGCCUACCAAGGCGUCGACGGGUAGCCGGCCUGAGAGGGUGUACGGCCACAUUGGGACUGAGAGACGGCCCAGACUCCGACGGGAGGCAGCAGUGGGGAAUAUUGCACAAUGGGCGCAAGCCUGAUGCAGCGACGCCGCGUGGGGGAUGACGGCCUUCGGGUUGGAAACUCCGUUCGCUAGGGACGAAGCGUUAUGUGACGGUACCUGGAGAAGAAGCACCGGCUAACUACGUG
rnacentral:rRNA from 1 species